UACGGAAGGCAGCAGUGGGGAAUAUUGCACAGUGGGCGCAAGCCUGAUGCAGCCAUGCCGCGUGUAUGAAGAAGGCCUUCGGGUUGUAAAGUACUUUCAGUCGUGAGGAAGGUGUUAAGGUUAAUAACCUUAGCAAUUGACGUUAGCGACAGAAGAAGCACCGGCUAACUCCGUGCCAGCAGCCGCGGUAAUACGGAGGGUGCGAGCGUUAAUCGGAAUUACUGGGCGUAAAGGGCACGCAGGCGGUUAAUUAAGUUGGAUGUGAAAUCCCCGGGCUUAACCUGGGAAUGGCAUUCAAGACUGGUUAGCUAGAGUCUUGUAGAGGGGGUAGAAUUCCAUGUGUAGCGGUGAAAUGCGUAGAGAUGUGGAGGAAUACCGGUGGCGAAGGCGGCCCCUGGACAAAGACUGACGCUCAUGUGCGAAAGCGUGGGGAGCAAACAGGAUUAGAUA
rnacentral:rRNA from 1 species